rnacentral:rRNA from 1 species
AUUGAACGCUGGCGGCAUGCUUUACACAUGCAAGUCGAACGGUAACAGGGAGCUUGCUCCGCUGACGAGUGGCGAACGGGUGAGUAAUGCAUCGGAACGUGCCGUGUAAUGGGGGAUAACGUAGCGAAAGUUACGCUAAUACCGCAUACGCCCUGAGGGGGAAAGUGGGGGACCGCAAGGCCUCACGUUAUACGAGCGGCCGAUGUCGGAUUAGCUAGUUGGUGGGGUAAAGGCCUACCAAGGCGACGAUCCGUAGCGGGUCUGAGAGGAUGAUCCGCCACACUGGGACUGAGACACGGCCCAGACUCCUACGGGAGGCAGCAGUGGGGAAUUUUGGACAAUGGGGACAACCCUGAUCCAGCCAUGCCGCGUGAGUGAAGAAGGCCUUCGGUUGUAAGCUCUUCUAGUGGAAGAAAUACGCAUCUUUAAUACUAGGUGUGGAUGACGGUACCGAUCAGAAGAAGACACCGGCUAACUACGUGCCAGCAGCCGCGGUAAU